rnacentral:snRNA from 1 species
GGAUGUGAGGGCGAUCUGGCUGCGACAUCUGUCACCCCAUUGAUCGCCAGGGUUGAUUCGCCUGAUCUGGCUGGCUAGGCAGGUGUCCCCUUCCUCCCUCACCACUCCAUGUGUGUCCCUCCCAAAGCUGCGCGCUCGGUCGAAGAGGACGACCUUCCCCGAUAGAGGAGGACCGUUCUUCGGUCAAGGGUAUACGAGUAGCUGCACUCCCCUGCUAGAACCUCCAAACAAGCUCUCAAGGUCCAUUUGUAGGAGAAAGUAGGGUAGUCAAGCUUCCAAGACUCCAGACACAUCCAAAUGAGGCGCUGCACGUGGCAGUCUGCCUUU